AUAGGGGUGCUCAUAAAUGCUUGAUUGCCUGACUGCAUGAUUGCAUGAGUGUGCUGAGAAAAUACCCUUGAAACUUGAUCCGGAUAAUGCCGGCGUAAGGAAAUGAAUU
rnacentral:ncRNA from 1 species